UACGUAGGGGGCUAGCGUUGUCCGGAAUUACUGGGCGUAAAGGGUGCGUAGGCGGCGCCUUAAGUCAGAUGUGAAAUAUCCAGGCUUAACCUGGAGGGUGCAUCUGAUACUGGGGUGCUUGAGUGCAGGAGAGGAAAGUGGAAUUCCUAGUGUAGCGGUGAAAUGCGUAGAUAUUAGGAGGAACACCAGUGGCGAAGGCGACUUUCUGGACUGUAACUGACGCUGAGGCACGAAAGCGUGGGGAGCAAACAGGAUUAGAUACCCUGGUAGUCCACGCUGUAAACGAUGGAUACUAGGUGUAGGGGGCGAUAGCUCUCUGUGCCGCAGCAAACGCAAUAAGUAUCCCGCCUGGGGAGUACGAUCGCAAGGUUGAAACUCAAAGGAAUUGACGGGGGCCCGCACAAGCAGCGGAGCAUGUGGUUUAAUUCGAAGCAACGCGAAGAACCUUACCAAGGCUUGACAUCCCUUGACGCACAUAGAAAUAUGUGUUCCCUUCGGGGCAAGGAGACAGGUGGUGCAUGGUUGUCGUCAGCUCGUGUCGUGAGAUGUUGGGUUAAGUCCCGCAACGAGCGCAACCCUUAUUGCUAGUUGCCAGCACGUAAAGGUGGGAACUCUAGUGAGACUGCCGGGGACAACUCGGAGGAAGGUGGGGACGACGUCAAAUCAUCAUGCCCCUUAUGUCUUGGGCUACACACGUGCUACAAUGGCCGGUACAAAGGGUAGCGAAACCGCAAGGCGAAGCGAAUCUCAAAAAGCCGGUCUCAGUUCGGAUCGUGGGCUGCAACCCGCCCACGUGAAGUCGGAGUUGCUAGUAAUCGCGAAUCAGCAUGUCGCGGUGAAUGCGUUCCCGGGCCUUGUACACACCGCCCGUCACACCAUGGAAGUUGGGAGCACCCGAAGCCAGUGGCCUAACCCGCAAGGGAGGGAGCUGUCGAAGGUGAGAUCAAUGACUGGGGUG
rnacentral:rRNA from 1 species